CAUUUGAAGUGUGCAUCAUUUCCACAGGACAACAGAUGACUUUAUAGUCUGAGACAAUUGAACACUAAGUCAGAAAUGAGCCUUUAUU